CACCCAAGAAUCUUUAUACUCCACGAUAUAUGGGUUAUUAAGUUUUGCAAUCAAGUCCAUCUGCAUCACAAAUCAUGAAAUCAACCAUGUUUUCUUCAGAUCAAGUUAUGCUCAUAUUUUGAGCCAAAUACAUUGUUUAAUAGAAACAACUUCUCUUUGUUGGUGUGAAGAAGGAACAUCAUCUUUAGUUAUUUUUCCCCUCAAAAUGGUCAUGCUUGAAAGUUAAAUUCUUGGAUACUUGAAGACAAAGCUCUAAACCAAAACAGGAUGGUCAUAUUCUAGUUAUCAAUUCCAUCCUAAAAGUGAAAGCUGUGCGUAUGAUCAUCAAUAUUAAACAUCCAGCAUAUUCCAAAGGCAGAAGAAGUUUCAACAAUGUAAAUUAUUAAUAUUUCUACAGCAGCAAUCAGACCAGAGGAGAACAAGCGAUGUAUUAAAUUUGCCUACAUAAUAACAUCAGGAAAAAGUUAGCAGUAAAAUAGCAUAUUUUUGUAUUUUUGGUAAUUUAGCAUGAGCUUUCAUGGUUUCAACUUUCAAAAGCUUAGAUCAAGGUAUUGGAGAAGAGAUUAUAAGAAGAGGUCUACAAACAAACACACAUGAUAGAAGCCAUAGUUGGAUUUCUAGCAGAAUGCAGUAAUAAAUAAAUAAAUGAUAAUAAAUCCUAUAACCAAUAUCAUGGAAGUAUCUAAAACCCAGUUCCAAUCUUGUUCAAACAAAUAAAGAAAUGAACAACAAAUAAUUCAUUGCUCAAAGAAUAAUAAUAAUAAUAA
rnacentral:misc_RNA from 1 species